rnacentral:rRNA from 1 species
UUACAGAGGCCUCGUUUACCGAGAUCUCUCAAACGGAAUGAGUACAACGUGAAUCCUUUAACGAGGAUCGACUGGAGGGCAAGCCUGGUGCCAGCAGCCGCGGUAAUUCCAGCUCCAGUAGCGUAUAUUAAAGCUGUUGCGGUUAAAAAGCUCGUAGUUGGAUAUCAGUGCGUGUCCGGUCCGGCAUGCCCGGUGUGUUAUGGCGGCAACGCGAUGACCGCCGGGCUCCCAAAUGUCGGCCGGCCGCAUUCAAAUGUGUCGGAUCCGUCGACGGCCGUUCUUCGGACUGUCGUUGGCGACCGGCGGCGUUACCUUGAACAAAUUAGAGUGCUCAAAGCAGGCUCUCAAUGCCUGUAUACAUAUUCAUGGAAUUGGAGAAUACGUCCCUGGCUCGAUUUGGUUGGUUUUGAGAGUCGAAGGGAAAUGAUUAAUAGGGACUGACGGAGGCAUUCGUAUUGCGACGCGAGGGGUGAAAUCCUGUG